GAGCGAGUGGAGUUCUUCGGAACAAAGCUAGCGGCGGACGGGUGAGUAACACGUGGGCAACCUGCCUCAUAGAGGGGAAUAGCCUUCCGAAAGGGAGAUUAAUACCGCAUAAGAUUGUAGCUUCGCAUGAAGUAGCAAUUAAAGGAGCAAUCCGCUAUGAGAUGGGCCCGCGGCGCAUUAGCUAGUUGGUGAGGUAACGGCUCACCAAGGCGACGAUGCGUAGCCGACCUGAGAGGGUGAUCGGCCACAUUGGGACUGAGACACGGCCCAGACUCCUACGGGAGGCAGCAGUGGGGAAUAUUGCACAAUGGGGGAAACCCUGAUGCAGCAACGCCGCGUGAGUGAUGACGGCCUUCGGGUUGUAAAGCUCUGUCUUCAGGGACGAUAAUGACGGUACCUGAGGAGGAAGCCACGGCUAACUACGUGCCAGCAGCCGCGGUAAUACGUAGGUGGCGAGCGUUGUCCGGAUUUACUGGGCGUAAAGGGAGCGUAGGCGGACUUUUAAGUGAGAUGUGAAAUACUCGGGCUCAACUUGAGUGCUGCAUUUCAAACUGGAAGUCUAGAGUGCAGGAGAGGAGAAUGGAAUUCCUAGUGUAGCGGUGAAAUGCGUAGAGAUUAGGAAGAACACCAGUGGCGAAGGCGAUUCUCUGGACUGUAACUGACGCUGAGGCUCGAAAGCGUGGG
rnacentral:rRNA from 1 species